AUGCUGGGGUGGUGCACAGGUGCACUAGAGUAUUAUACAGAUAUUCUGGGGUGGUGCACAGGUGCACUAGAGUAUUAUACAGGUAUGCUGGGGUGCACAGAUGCACUAGAAUAUUAUAUAAGUAUGCUGGGGUUGUGCAAAGGUGCACUAGAAUAUACAGGUAUGCUGGGGUUGUGCAAAGGUGCACUAGAAUAUUAUACAGGUAUGCUGGGGUUGUACACAGGUGCACUAGAAUAUUAUACAGGUAUGCUGGCGUGGUGCACAGGUGCACUAGAAUAUUAUACAGGUAUGCUGGGGUUGUACACAGGUGCACUAGAAUAUUAUACAGGUAUGCUGGUGUGGUGCACAGGUGCACUAGAAUAUUAUACAGGUAUGCUGGGGUUGUACACAGGUGCACUAGAAUAUUAUACAGGUAUGCUGACGUGGUGCACAGGUGCACUAGAAUAUUAUACAGGUAUGCUGGGGUUGUACACCGGUGCACUAGAAUAUUAUACAGGUAUGCUGGGGUUGUACACAGGUGCACUAGAAUAUUAUACAGGUAUGCUGGCGUGGUGCACAGGUGCACUAGAAUAUUAUACAGGUAUGCUGGGGUUGUACACAGGUGCACUAGAAUAUUAUACAGGUAUGCUGGCGUGGUGCACAGGUGCACUAGAAUAUUAUACAGGUAUGCUGGGGUUGUACACAGGUGCACUAGAAUAUUAUACAGGUAUGCUGACGUGGUGCACAGGUGCACUAGAAUAUGAUACAGGUAUGCUGGCGUGGUGCACAGGUGCACUAGAAUAUUAUACAGGUAUGCUGGGGUUGUACACAGGUGCACUAGAAUAUUAUACAGGUAUGCUGGUGUGUUGCACAGGUGCACUAGAAUAUUAUACAGGUAUGCUGGGGUUGUACACAGGUGCACUAGAAUAUUAUACAGGUAUGCUGGCGUGGUGCACAGGUGCACUAGAAUAUUAUACAGGUAUGCUGGGGUGGUGCACAGGUGCACUAGAAUAUUAUACAGGUAUGCUGGCAUGGUGCACAGGUGCACUAGAAUAUUAUAUAGGUAUGCUGGGGUUGUACACAGGUGCACUAGAAUAUGAUACAGGUAUGCUGGCAUGGUGCACAGGUGCACUAGAAUAUUAUACAGGUAUGCUGGGAUGGUGCCCAAGUGGACUAGGAUGA
rnacentral:lncRNA from 1 species